GAUACGGAGGACUGGCCCGGUGCUUUCGUGAAAGCGAAGCCGACAAGAGGGAAUCCGGUCACAUGCCGGAGCCGCCCCCGCGACUGUAAGCGGUGAGCGCGCAUCCAGAAAGCCACUUGGGGGGGUCCUCCUCGGGGAAGGCGGAUGUGGCGCUGCGACCCGCAAGCCAGGAGACCUGCCGGGCAUGGCACGCGAAAC
rnacentral:ncRNA from 1 species